GGAAUUUUGGACAAUGGGGGCAACCCUGAUCCAGCCAUGCCGCGUGUGUGAAGAAGGCCUUCGGGUUGUAAAGCACUUUCGGCCGGAACGAAAUCGCGCGAUCUAAUAAGUCAGGUGGAGGAAGGUACCGGAAACAGAAGCACCGGCUAACUACGUGCCAGCAGCCGCGGUAAUACGUAGGGUGCGAGCGUUAAUCGGAAUUACUGGGCGUAAAGUGUGCGCAGGUGGCCGCGCAAGUCGAGUGUGAAAUCCCCGAGCUUAACUUGGGAAUUGCGCUCGAAACUACGUGGCUCGAGUGUGGCAGAGGAAGGUGGAAUUCCACGUGUAGCGGUGAAAUGCGUAGAGAUGUGGAGGAACACCGAUGGCGAAGGCAGCCUUCUGGGCCAACACUGACGCUCAUGCACGAAAGCGUGGGGAGCAAA
rnacentral:rRNA from 1 species